rnacentral:rRNA from 1 species
CCUACGGGUGGCAGCAGUGAGGAAUAUUGGUCAAUGGACGGAAGCCUGAACCAGCCAAGUAGCGUGCAGGAUGACGGCCCUACGGAUUGUAAACUGCUUUUAUACGGGAGUAACGCGCCUUACGUGUAGGGCUUUGCAUGUACCGUAUGAAUAAGGACCGGCUAAUUCCGUGCCAGCAGCCGCGGUAAUACGGAAGGUCCGAGCGUUAUCCGGAUUUAUUGGGUUUAAAGGGAGCGUAGGCCGGAUGUCAAGCGUGAUGUGAAAUGUCCGAGCUCAACCCGGGCAUUGCAGCGCGAACUGGCGUGCUUGAGUCCGCGGAAGGCAGGCGGAAUU